AAUCUGGUACUUUUUCGUUUUAGCAUUAAAAAAAAAAAGUCUAUAAAAUAGAGAUGGGGUCUUCUUAUGUUGCCUAGGCUGGUUUCAAACUCCUAGCCUCAAGCAAUCCUCCCUCCUUGGCCUCACAAAGUGUUGGGAUUGCAGGUGUGAGGCACUGCACCUGGCCUAAAUGAGCAUUUUGAAUAGACUAAGAUCUGUGUCUACACUGGAUGAGUCUGUGUUUGCAGCCAGUGGCUACAAAAGGUAUCAAGGUUUCACAAGAUCAUUUCAAAAAUCCUGCGAUUGAAGUAAUACAUUCUCUUUUUUUUUUUUUUUUGAGAUGGAGUUUUGCUCUUGUUGCCUAGCUGGAGUGCAAUGGCGCGAUCUCGGCUCUGCCUCCCAGGUUCGGGCUGUUCUCCUGCCUCAGAUUCCUGAGUAGCUGGGAUUACAGGCAUGUGCCCUCAUGCCUGGCUAAUUUUGUAUUUUUAGUAGAGACGAGGUUUCUCCAUGUUGGUCAGGCUGGUCUCAAACUCCCGACCUCAGGUGAUCUGCCCGCCUGUCUCCCAAAGUGUUGAGAUUACAGGCGUGAGCCAUCACACCUGACUAUUUCUUUCUCUUUUACUACAUUUUCCCCUGAAUGUGCUAUUGAGGUACUCAUGUAUAAUUAUACUGUAUGUUCAUAUAUAAUAGUAAUAUACACUAUUAUAGGCCCUAUAUGAAACAGAUGUCUCUGUCAGAUUAUUCUGACAUUGCAUCAUGUUCCCUAUGAAGGACAUCAAUUAGUUCUGAGGAGAAGAUGAAUUUUACCCCCAAGCUCAUCUGCUUGUUGACAGCCUCUGAAUUUAAUCUGAUGUUCAGAAUAGCUUCAUUCCAUGUAUCUCUCAGAGUGUAGUAUUUAAUUCACUGCCCCUCAAAUCUCCCCAGCACUCAGGUUGGAGAACAACAAAAUCACACUUGUUUUUGUGACACUGUUACCAGCCUUUACUGAAAAUCAUUUUAGGUUGGGCGUAGUGGCUCACGCCUGUAAUCCCAGCUUUGGUAGGCCAAGACUGGUGGAUCACCUGAAGUCAGGAGUUUGAGACUAGCCUGGCCAACAUGGUGAAACCAUGUCUCUACUAAAAAUAAAAAAAAAAGUAGCUGGUCGUGGUGGUGGGUGCCUGUAAUCCCAGCUACUCUGGAGGCUGAGGCAGGAGAAUCGCUUGAACUCUGCCUGGGAGGUGAAGGUUACCAUGAGCCGGGAUCAUGCCAUUGUACUCCAGCCUUGGCAACUAGAGUGAAACUACGUCUCCCCCCCAAAAAACAAAAGGAAGUCAUUUUAAGGAACAGGCCUGUGACCCUUGCCUGUAUGUCCACUGUAUAAAUGCUAUUGAGACUUUUCAUCCUUACAUUGUAUAUCCUAUAUCCUCUCCAUGAAGACUCACAGGAGGAAUUGAUUUCUGAGCUCAGUAGCAGAAAUAAUAGUGAUUUUAAUUAAUUCAAUAAACAUUUACUGAGCAUCUACUACAAGCAGGCCAUAUGAGAGC
ensembl:lncRNA